ACACGUCUAUUUAGUAGCAUGGCCACCUCAAUGAAGUAAGUGCUAUGUUAUUUCAAAAACCUAUUAAAUCAAUUAGUCACAGGGCAAAUAAAGCGUUUAUAUAGGAACCAAUGCGCUUACUUAUUCGUAAUCCACUGUCGAAAUUACAGCAAAAUGAAGGUAGCAGGAGCUCUGUUGUUGAUCGCUUUGCUGGCUAACUUCUUUACUGAUAUUUAUGGGACGCCUUGUAUGUUCGAUAGCGACUGCGACCCAAUAUGCACAACCAGUUGCAGUACAGCUGGAAAAUGCAUCCAGUCUGCAUGUUACUGUGAAGCUCCUUCCGAUUCCGAGCCAUCUGCCUGCGGAGAUCACAGUCGGCCUCGACUAGUUCCAGUGAGACCUUAGAAACGUUGAAAAACGUUUACUAUGAAACUGUGAAAUAAAAGUGAGAUUUCAAAAAUAAA